AUUGAACGCUGGCGGCAUGCCUUACACAUGCAAGUCGAACGGUAACAGGCCGCAAGGUGCUGACGAGUGGCGAACGGGUGAGUAAUGCAUCGGAACGUGCCCAGUCGUGGGGGAUAACUGCUCGAAAGAGCAGCUAAUACAGCAUACGACCUGAGGGUGAAAGCGGGGGACCGUAAGGCCUCGCGCGAUUGGAGCGGCCGAUGUCAGAUUAGCUAGUUGGUGGGGUAAAGGCCUACCAAGGCAACGAUCUGUAGUUGGUCUGAGAGGACGAGCAGCCACACUGGGACUGGGACACGGCCAAGACGCCUACGGGAGGCAGAAGUGGGGAAUUUUGGACAAUGGGCGCAAGCCUGAUCCAGCAAGGCCGCGUGCAGGAAGAAGGCCUUCGGGUUGUAAACUGCUUUUGUCAGGGAAGAAAUCUUCUGGGCUAAUACCCCGGGAGGAUGACGGUACCUGAAGAAUAAGCACCGGCUAACUACGUGCCAGCAGCCGCCGUAACAC
rnacentral:rRNA from 1 species